GUUUAUGAAAUAAUAGCUAAUAUUUAGUCUGUUCGUUUAGUGGCCGCAAGCGGCAGCGGCAGCGGCUGCGGCAACGGUAACAUUGCCGCACUUGCGUCUACCGCAGCCGCAAAUACCCGCGGCGACGAAACGAACAGACUAAUUGUGAACUAUAAGUCAAAUUCUGGAGUUUUAAACUGAAAAGUAGAUUAGAAAUAUCUUAGAUGGAAAAUUAUGUUAGGUUAUAAUGAUGUCAAGUAUUGUUAUAU
rnacentral:sRNA from 1 species